rnacentral:rRNA from 1 species
UACGGAGGGGGCUAGCGUUGUUCGGAAUUACUGGGCGUAAAGUGCGCGUAGGCGGACAUUUAAGUCGGGGGUGAAAUCCCGGGGCUCAACCCCGGAACUGCCUUCGAUACUGGGUGUCUGGAGUUCGAGAGAGGUGAGUGGAAUUCCGAGUGUAGAGGUGAAAUUCGUAGAUAUUCGGAGGAACACCAGUGGCGAAGGCGGCUCACUGGCUCGAUACUGACGCUGAGGUGCGAAAGCGUGGGGAGCAAACAGG